rnacentral:misc_RNA from 1 species
GCUUAUGCUAUAUUGUACCCUUGGAAAACUGUGUUUGAUUCAGCUAGUUGGGAAAAUCUUAUGCGCAAAUUUAUAGUUCCUAAGUUGGAGGUUGCAUUACAAGAGUUCCAAAUAAAUCCUACUGCUCAAAACCUUGAUCAAUUCUAUUGGGUCAUAUCAUGGGCUUCUGCAAUUCCAAUUCAUCUCAUGGUUGAUUUGAUGGAGAGAUUUUUCUUUGUCAAGUGGCUGCAGGUUCUAUAUCAUUGGUUGUGUUCAAAUCCAAACUUACAGGAGGUUCAUAAAUGGUAUACUGGUUGGAAGGGACUCCUCCCACCGGAGCUUCAGGCCCAUGAAAACAUUCGAUAUCAAUUUACUCUUGGCCUCAACAUGAUUGAUCGGGCUAUUGAAGGUAUGGAAGUGGUCCAACCUGGCUUGAGGGAGAGUUAUCUUAGGGCACAAGAACCAAAGCAGUUUGCAUCACAUGCUCAACAGCAACCUGCAAUGGGUGUGGGAAGCACAGUCCCGGCAGAUGGUGUGGGUGGUGGUCUUGAGAUGACUUUGAAGGAAGUUGUUGAGGCACAUGCACAACAUCAUGGCUUGCUAUUUAAGCCUAAACCUGGCAGGACAUACAAUGGUCACCAGAUUUAUGGCUAUGGAAACGUAAGCAUAUAUGUGGACUCACUGCAUCAAAGGUUGUAUGCCCAGAAAGAGGAAGAUUGGUUCCUGACAAACCUUGAUAAGUUGCUUGAGAUGCAUAACAAUUCUCUUACAAAGAGACGUUGAUUUUUAGAGCUCUGAGGAGCUGUUGGGUUGUGGAACAACUACAGGCUGAGAAAGCUGUCCUUCAGAUCAAAUAGGGUGUGAUGCAUCAUGCAUAAAAGUAAUCGAAGUUAAGAGGUCAGCUUUUCCAUAUAAAAUCAGCUUGUCUGUAAUGGGCAGUGCAAUUUGUUGUAAGAAAGUAGAAUUUGAAAUCAUUUUUGCAGACGUUAUCUUGGUUAUUAUGCAUUACUGCUGCUGAAUUAUUUACACUUGUAUUUCCUUGUUAGCUAAUCUUGUAAAUAUGUUUUGCCAUGAUAAUAUUAAGGAUAGUAUGUCUUUC